UACAUGUAUCUGCUUUGAUGUCUGAAGUUUGAAACUGAUUCGAUUGCAUGUUUACAUUAAAGUUACGUGUUUAAAAUUCGAUUACCCUUCGAAAGUCAUCGAAAAAUGUAACAAAACUUCUUCGGUGCAAGAGGAAACUUUAAAUCCUGCUAAAUGUGUGAAUAGAUCCACAUACAUACAUGUAAGGAAAGAAGACCACCUUUAAAAUCGAUACCGAGACGGUUAUUGCAUAUGCCUAUACAUGUGUGUGAGUUUAAUAAUGGUAUCGUGCAUGUUUUCAUAACUAUCUUUUUAGCCUUUGGCUUGCACAGGACCGUAAUAUUUAUGUACAAUGAAGCCUAAUGUUGCAAUGACGUUUUGCAUUGACACAAUAAAUAAAUAAUGGAUGUGUGCAUUAAUCACGAUAUUUAAAGAUAUUCAACCCUCUGCCAAGAAUUUAGUACGGUUUAAAUCUUUUGAAUCUUUUCAUGAUUAAAGUCCGUGACAUUUAAAUGUAUACCAAUCUCAAAACGCUAUAUAUAAAUACGAGAACAUGGCUUCCCCAACACACAUUUUACAGAUACUGUGUUUUCUCUCUGUGUGUCUACUACUGAGACUGUCUGCAUGAAAGGUGAAGAUAACGAACAGUGAUCAACACGGACCCCUGGACACACCAGAGGUGGGAUAAGGUGCCUAGGAGGAGUAAGUGUCACCUGUCGACCGGUCACACCCACCGUGAGCCCUAUAUAGUGUCCCUAUAUCUCAACUGAUACGAUACGCAAGAGCUUGUUCUACGUAUGGUCAGUUUAUAAAUCGAGGCAGUCCUUCGGGUGAGAUCGCAAAACCCGAAAUCCCGUGUCACAGCAGGCGUGGCACGAUAAAGAUACAUUCCUUCUCAAAGGCCGUAAGCACCGAGCAUAGGCCUAAAUCUUGCAUCCCUUCACUGGAUUUGGUGACGUCUCCAUAAGAGUGAAUAAAUCUCGAGUGUGACGUCAAACAAAAUACAACUAACCAACAGAGUAUAUAGAGGAUGUACAACUAAAAACGAAUAUGCAACAUUAGCCAGAAGCAUUUCAUCUGAUUGCAGCAAAUUAGUUAGAGGAUGAACGUGAUUAGGAUGAAAAAAUCUCUUUACUUGGACACAGGUUGGGAUCAGCUUCAAAUUUGGCGAAAAACAACAUGAAUAAAACAAUGUAUAAAGUGGCUUCAAACUAUCAUUAAGAUAUAUUUCCUGCUAAAAUUACAAGACAAGAAGUACUCUAAAUUACAUUUACCUAAAUGUAAAUGUCAAAUCUAAACAAAUUUCUUGUGUACCAGCUGUUGUAAAUAAUUAUUUACAAGAUUUCGACACAAUUGUAUAUUAAACAAACAUUUAUUCCAUUGUAACAUCAUCGAUAGUCCUCUAUGUACUUGUGGAAAAUUUAAAGAUCGGGUCCUUAAUAACAAAAAAUUAUUGUCAAUUACAAUUGUAUACUUUUACCUAUUUAAUUCGUAGGUAGAAAAAAACGAAUGCUAAGAUAUGAUUAAGUAAUGACUUCACAGUAAAACCAAACUGUCGAUAAACGAUCGAUGUAUGCAAAGCUUGUUCACAUCAUUGAUCCUGAUGAACAGAAUAUAUUUUCCUUUUUUCAAACAUUCAUGUCUUUAAUUGAUCAAUUUUGACUAGAAUUUAAACUCUUCGACUUUGUGCACAAAUAUAAUGGAGAACAUAAGUGUUUGUAGAAAAUUAGCGCGAUUAAUUGCUGUAACAUCUGAUUUACCUAUCUAUUUGAAUAUUAAUGAACUAAAUAUUAUGGAAAACUAGUUUACAGUUAUGAAUUGAAUUCCCUGAAGAGGCAGCAAAAUAGUUCCAUGUAAAACUUAUACGGUACCAAUUUUGAUGCACCAAAUGUGCAUUUCGACAAAUAAUGUCUCUUCAGUGAUGCUCAACCGAAAUUUUUGAAAUCCGAAAUAACAACACACUUGUUAGCGCUAUUUUAGGGGAAAACAGAGUGCCAAAAAUUGGAGCCAAAUACGUCGAAGGAUAAGAGUUACGCAUGAGGGAGAUAAUCCUUAAUUUUGAAAUGAAUUUCUAUAUUUUAUCACAGCAAUUUAAUAUACAUCCGUAUUUUCAAGCUAGUAACGAAAUACUUUGAUAAUGGGCUGUAGAGACCUUCGGGGACUAAACGUCCACCAGCUAAUCUAUCUAUUCAGCAAAGGACAACUUUAAUUUAAGUUUUCCCGAUUCUUUAUUUACCCACGAAAUCAGCGUGCUCUAUCGGACAUUCAGCUGAAGCUUGAUGCUUGAGUACUUGGUUAUGCAUGCCUUAUGGGGAUGCUAUGUUUUAAAAACUGAACGUCAAUAGCGUGUACACCACUUUAUCAGAAACGUUCCCGAAAACGCACAUAAAAAAAUAUCUAUUGUAGUUAUAUUUAAUUCAAUUCACAAGUGAAAGUUUGGAAAUGUUUCCGCUGGACAAUGAAUGUUGUGAUUCCCGUUUAUUAAUUUAUUCAAUUACUGUGAGUUCAUGCUAGUACAACGCAAUUGUCGCCGUUAGCAACGUUGAUCAAUUGAUUCCAUUUUGAUCUGAACUAUCCAUGCAACUUAUAUACAAUUAUCAUAAUAUUACAUCUAGCUUUUUUAUUUUUUGCUUGAGGACACUCGUCGCUUUGCGUAAUACGUACACUAUCAAAGACACCGAAAAUCACGAAGUGGAAGGAUCACUGCUUGAGAUAUGCGUGUACACUUCAUUAGAUGGGCUUGGUAAGUUGUGGCAGUUGUUCAAACAUCGUCUUGAUACCAUCAAUUAAAUAAGCAAACCAACAAACAAAUCAUAACUACCGUACAACGACCAACGGUCAAUGAAAGGAUGUCAAUUUCAUUUACUCCACAAAUUACAAAUGAUUUGAAAAUUUAAGAAAUAAAGUUGAAACAAUAUAUCACCUCAUUCAAGCUAUUUAUAAUUGCUCAUGAAAUAUAGAUCUUUAUUUUUUUUAAAUAAGCAAUACUUUAAUAGUAUUUUGCAACAACAAAAAACGCACUGUGCAUUAUAGCCAUAGAAUAAAAUUGAUAAAAAGUGAUGCCGUGAAAACACACCGGGACAUUCAGUGGACACGUCAUCUUACAUCGUAUGCUUUUAGAUUUAAGGCUGGCAGUAAAACCGCAACUUCAAAGGCGCCGACUAUUGAUUACAACGCCGUUAUCGUAUGCAUAUUUAUGAAUCCGGUAAAAUAACAUACCAGUUUUGAGGGAUUAUCUUCGCGUAUAUAGCACUAAAUGUUAUUGAAAAGGCGUUUCAAAAAGUGUUUACAAAUCACACAUAUAACUUGAUAAUUAAAAAAAUCUAUUUUCUUGAUUGUUUGCCUGCAAAAUUAUGCCGCUAGGGUCCCCGAGUAUUCUCUACUGCUUUCGACUUUGAAACAGAGACAUUUGUAACCCAAAUUCCUUACUUAAGUAGACAUAAUGCUCUUCAAAUUGUGUUAGAAAAAAGAACUGAACCAAAUAUUUGAUUGUAGUUCAAAGGUGUAUAAAGUGGUGGAUCUAAAUGAUAUGUCAAUUGAGGUAUUCCGUUACCUUUGGAAUUAAAAUAUUUGAUGAAAAU